GGGUGCAAUCACACCAGCACUAAUGCACCGGAUCUCAUCAGAACUCCGCAGCUAUGCGCGCUUGGGCGAGAGUAGUAUUAGGAUGGGUGACCUCCCGUGAAGUCCUCGUGUUGCACUGC
rnacentral:rRNA from 1 species